rnacentral:rRNA from 1 species
AUUGAACGCUGGCGGCAGGCUUAACACAUGCAAGUCGAGCGGGGUGAUGGUGCUUGCACUAUCACUUAGCGGCGGACGGGUGAGUAAUGCUUAGGAAUCUGCCUAUUAGUGGGGGACAACAGCUCGAAAGGGAUGCUAAUACCGCAUACGUCCUACGGGAGAAAGCAGGGGAUCACUUGUGACCUUGCGCUAAUAGAUGAGCCUACGUCGGAUUAGCUAGUUGGUGGGGUAAAGGCCUACCAAGGCGACGAUCUGUAGCGGGUCUGAGAGGAUGAUCCGCCACACUGGGACUGAGACACGGCCCAGACUCCUACGGGAGGCAGCAGUGGGGAAUAUUGGACAAUGGGGGGAACCCUGAUCCAGCCAUGCCGCGUGUGUGAAGAAGGCCUUAUGGUUGUAAAGCACUUUAAGCGAGGAGGAGGCUCUUUUGGUUAAUACCCAAGAUGAGUGGACGUUACUCGCAGAAUAAGCACCGGCUAACUCUGUGCCAGCCGCCGCAGUAA